rnacentral:rRNA from 1 species
GCUUAGCCCUAAACUUAGAUAUUUUCCACACAAAAAUAUCCGCCAGAGAACUACGAGCAUAAACGCUUAAAACUCUAAGGACUUGGCGGUACCUCAAACCCUCCUAGAGGAGCCUGUUCUAUAAUCGAUAAUCCACGAUCUACCUCACCAUCCCUUGCCAAACCCGCCUAUAUACCACCGUCACCAGCUUACCCCAUGAGGGGUACAAAAGUAAGCAAAAUAACCUAAACAGUUAAUAAGUCAGGUCAAGGUGUAGCUAACUGAGAUGGAAGAAAUGGGCUACAUUUUCUACUUUAGAAAUAACCACGGAAGAAUACCAUGAAAUAGGUUCCACAAGCAGGAUUUAGCAGUAAACUGGGAACAGAGAGCCCAAUUUAAGCCGGUCCUGAGGUACGC